AUUGAACGCUGGCGGCAGGCCUAACACAUGCAAGUCGAACGAGUGGCGGACGGGUGAGUAAUGUCUGGGAAACUGCCCGUUGGAGGGGGAUAACUACUGGAAACGGUAGCUAAUUCCGCAUACCAUCGUAUUUGCCCAGUUGGGAUUAGCUAGUGGGUGGGGUAACGGCUCACCUAGGCGACGAUCCCUAGCGGGUCUGAGAGGAUGACCGGCCAAACUGGAACUGGGAAACGGUCCAGACUCCUACGGGAGGCAGAAGUGGGGAAUAUUGCAAAAUGGGCGCAAGCCGGAUGCAGACAGGCCGCGUGGAGGAAGAAGGCCUUCGGGUUGUAAAGUACUUUCAGCGAGGAGGCGUUACUCGCAGAGGAAGCACCGGCUAACUCCGUGCCAGCAGCCGCGGUAAUAC
rnacentral:rRNA from 1 species